rnacentral:misc_RNA from 1 species
GAUGAAGAACGCAGCGAAAUGCGAUAAGUAGUGUGAAUUGCAGAAUUCCGUGAAUCAUCGAAUCUUUGAACGCACAUUGCGCCUUCUGGUAUUCCGGAAGGCAUGCCUGUUCGAGCGUCAUUUCAACCCUCAAGCUCUGCUUGGUGUUGGGCCCUGCCCGCUGCGGCCGGCCCUAAAGACAGUGGCGGUGCCGCCUGGCCCUGAGCGUAGUACAUCUCUCGCUCCAGUGCCCGGUGGUAGCCUGCCAGAACCCCAACUCUCGUGGUUGACCUCGGAUCAGGUAGGGAUACCCGCUGAACUUAAGCAUAUCAAUAAGCGGAGGA